UGGGGAAUAUUGCACAAUGGGCGCAAGCCUGAUGCAGCCAUGCCGCGUGUGUGAAGAAGGCCUUCGGGUUGUAAAGCACUUUCAGCGAGGAGGAAGGGUUCAGUGUUAAUAGCACUGUGCAUUGACGUUACUCGCAGAAGAAGCACCGGCUAACUCCGUGCCAGCAGCCGCGGUAAUACGGAGGGUGCAAGCGUUAAUCGGAGUUACUGGGCGUAAAGCGCACGCAGGCGGUUUGUUAAAGUCAGAUGUGAAAUCCCCGCGCUUAACGUGGGAACUGCAUUUGAAACUGGCAAGCUAGAGUCUUGUAGAGGGGGGUGAGAA
rnacentral:rRNA from 1 species